AGAGUUUUGAUCCUGGCUCAGGAUGAACGCUGGCGGCGUGCUUAACACAUGCAAGUCGAACGCUGAAGCUCCCAGCUUGCUGGGGGUGGAGUGAGUGGCGAACGGGUGAGUAUCACGUGAGUAACCUGCCCUGAACUCUGGGAUAAGCCUGGGAAACUGGGUCUAAUACUGGAUAGGACUGGCCAUCGCAUGGUGGUUGGUUGAAAGCUUGAGGCGGUUUUGGAUGGACUCGCGGCCUAUCAGUUUGUUGGUGGGGUAAUGGCCUACCAAGGCUUUGACGGGUAGCCGGCCUGAGAGGGUGACCGGCCACACUGGGACUGAGACACGGCCCAGACUCCUACGGGAGGCAGCAGUGGGGGAUAUUGCACAAUGGGGGAAACCCUGAUGCAGCGACGCCGCGUGAGGGAUGACGGCCCUCGGGUUGUAAACCUCUUUCAGUUGGGAAGAAGCCCUUCGGGGUGACGGUACCUUCAGAAGAAGCACCGGCUAACUACGUG
rnacentral:rRNA from 1 species